rnacentral:rRNA from 1 species
GAUGAACGCUGGCGGCGUGCCUAAUACAUGCAAGUCGAGCGAAUGGAUUAAGAGCUUGCUCUUAUGAAGUUAGCGGCGGACGGGUGAGUAACACGUGGGUAACCUGCCCAUAAGACUGGGAUAACUCCGGGAAACCGGGGCUAAUACCGGAUAACAUUUUGAACCGCAUGGUUCGAAAUUGAAAGGCGGCUUUGGCUGUCACUUAUGGAUGGACCCGGGUCGCAUUAGCUGGUUGGUGAGGUAACGGCUCACCAAGGCAACGAUGCGUAGCCGAACUGAGAGGGUGAUCGGCCACACUGGGACUGGGACACGGCCCAGGCUCCUACGGGAGGGAGGCGUAGGGAAUCUUCCGCAAUGGACGAAAGUCUGACGGAGCAAAGCCGGGUGAGUGAUGAAGGCUUUCGGGUCGUAAAACUCUGGUGUUAGGGAAGAACAAGUGCUAGUUGAAUAAGCUGGCACCUUGACGGUACCUAACCAGAAAGCCACGGCUAACUACGUGCCAGCAGCCGCGGUAA